GUAAAUAUUAUGUUCACGUUUAAAAAUACCGAAAUGAAUUUAAGAUAGGUUUAACUUUUGGAAUGAUUAAACCUGUAGAUGUACAAAAGAUUUAUCGAUUUGUUCCAAGUUUACGUCACCUCGUCAUGGUUACUCCAUCAAAUUAAAUUAAGUAAUCAUUCGAUUAAAUUGAAAGUAGAUGAAAUGUUGAAUUAAUUUUCUUAAUUGUUUGUCCUAACAUUCGUAUCGUGUACUGAGAAAAUAUUCAUAAUAUUUCAUUUACAUUCGAUUAAAUUGAAAGUAGAAGAAAUGUUGAAUUAAUUUUCUUAAUUGUUUGUCAUAACAUUCGCAUCGUGUACUUAAAAAAUAUUCAGAAUAUUAAUUUACGUUUUAGAGUAAUAUUGUAAUAUCAACAAAUUUAUUUACUGCGUAGCCAGAAUUCUCUUGUUAAUACGUUUUAAUAGGCAAUUGAUGAAAAUGCAUUUGCGUAUUACAAUUUCCCAUAUGUAUCGUCGCGUACCUUCGAAUUAAACGAUUCGUUAUUAUUUCUCUCCAUCCGUGAGUGCUCUUAUGCGCGCUUGAAUAUGCCAGUUCAAGUGGAAGAAAUGAGUGCUCGCUCCUUUGAGCGUAUAUUUCCAGUCUGAUUUUGUAGAUAGGAAAAAUAUUUUUUCAUUUUUUUUCCCCUUAUCAAACCAUACAGACAAUUGGACGAUACGACUGGCUGUAUAACUCAAUUAGAUUUUAAAUCCAUUAUCUAAUUACCUGCACAUUUAAUUAAGUCUUCUGCAGAUCGAUGUACCACGCCUGCUUCAGUUCUAUCAUUCGAACGACUGCAUUUUCCUAAAAAUUUACCUCUUAUUGGAAAACUUAAAUGAAUGAUCCAAUCGUACUUCUUCUUAUCAAAUACUUGAUAUAUUAUGUUAUAAACUGUUAGUUCCUAUGGAAAUAUUAUAUUUCUGCAAUCGUUUAUUUCUUUUUACGUGUAACUGUGUAUAGCAGUGAUUUAUUAUAUUUUACGUAACAUAAUAUUUGAAUUUUCCGAAUUUAUCAUCGGAAUGAUUUAACUUCUUAAUGAGCGCACAGAUAACACUGACGUAACACUUGGUUAGUCAUUACUUAUCGACAUUAUUAAUAUACUUAUACUUAUCGACUUAAUACUUAUCGACAUAAACAAUUAGACAGGUAAUCGUAUUAUCCAAAUGUCUGCUUGGUUUGAUUAGAGGAAAACAAAUGAAAAAAUACCUGGCAUAUUUUCGAGACACGCGAGAAGUUAUACGCACACGCGCCCAUAGAAUCGCACAAUCAUCCCGUCCAUUUGAAUAAGCUCACGCAUGCGCAAAAGUACGCACCCAGAUGGAAAGAGAUAAUAAUAACACGUUCAAUAUGAAGGUACUUGACGAUAUAUAUAGGGGAAAAUAUUACGCACCUGCAGAUCAUUAUACCUCGAAUGAAUCAUUAAAACGAGAAUGCGAGAUAAGCAGCAAAUUAGUUGGUCGAAAUCCCUAUAUUAUUGAACACGUACAUUAAAUAUUAUAAACAUUCUUUAAGUGCAUAUCGUGAAUAUCAUGAUAACCAAUUUGGAAGAUUGAACUAAACAAUUCUUCUCUUUUCAAUUAUAUUAAAAAAUUAUUUAAACUGACUAUGAUAAUCGCUUUAAUAAUUAGUUUAACAAAUGGUUUAAAUAAUUAUUUAAACCGGUAUAACGUUGAUAUGAUGACGCAAACGUAUACUGAAUAUUCGACGUAUAAUUUAAAAGUGUUCCCUGGCUAACAUUAAUAUCCCGAAAAACGGUGAAUUUUUUAAUCGUACAUGCAGAAUUAAUCAUUUUCAAAGAUAAACCUUUCUGAAUACCAUUUCAAUUCCAUUUUAGUCCAGAUUCCGUUUGCAACAGCGAACUGUUCUUUAACAAAUAUCACUCAACAUAUUCGAUUACAUCCUCUAAAUAAAGCCUUUUUUUAAAUUCUUAAAGUUUGGAUCCUUUCAAUAAGAUAUAUUCCUUUUCCUCCUAUAACCCUUCGAAUGUAGCUUUAUAAAACAAUGCCAUAUUAACCUCGUCAAGGAUUUUUGUGACUGCCUUUAUAAAUGUUUUGUUUUCUUGCUGGUUAAUUUCGAUCAUAUAAUGAAGAUGGUGUGGAAAUCAAUACUACGGUUCACGUAAAGACUAGGACGAUGUUUGAAAAGGAAGCGUGCUGGGUUUGAAAAAAGCCUUCUUAUCAAACCCAGCACGUCGAUUGAUAAUAUGACAAGGAAGCUCUAAAAAUGUUUUGGAAACUAUUGAUGACUUUAGAUAAUUGAAUACUGCCGAUCGAUACUAUGUAUUUCAUUAUCCAAACAUAAGAUAUAUGGAUAUAUAUUUUCUUUUCUUCCUUUUUUUAUAUUCGAGUUAAAAUAUAAAGCGUCAUAUCACUGGCUAAGAACUGUAACAAAAAAGUAAAAAUGUUAAUGCACAACGCUUCCGAUGAUAACAUCCGACAACUUCGAAAUUUAAAUGAUUGGCACUCCAUGACAGGUGAAGAAUUUGAAAUGAUCAUAAUGAAAUAUAUAAUGGAUCAUAACGAAAAAGCAAAUACUUCUCAUGAUGAUGAAUUCACCAAUGAUAUUAUUUUUAAUAUGACCAAAAGAGAUAGGGAAAACAAUAUUUUUUGCAUGAGAAGCAUUUUUGGUCGAUUUUGACAGAUAGCAAUCAAAAAAUGUAUAAUUACGUUCACAAGAUAUUUUUAUUAUGAGAUAAUAUCAACAAGAAAACUAAUUUUUUUUUUAAUCAGUAUUAAUCUUUUGUAGGGAGCGAUCGAUAAAGUUGAAGCAAAAGACCAUGUUGCAAUACGCAGAUAUCCAAAGUCGAUUAUACCAUAUGAUAAUUAAAAAGGGAAAAAUAUUCAUCGAGAAAUCAAUUUCCCCUUAAUCCAUGUCCCAUUAGGCUCUUUCGGCUCGUUAGAUCGCGUAAUAGUAAAUUUUAAUCGACUUACAUAAAUCGUGUUCAAAUGAAAUACGUAAAGGAGAAAAAGAUAAUAUUACGAAAAAAAAAUUGUCUUCUCUGAAUACAAUCUUCAUUACAACGUCAUAAAAAAAGAGAGAUAUGUAAAAAAAGAGAGUGUUAACUUAAGUAAUAGAAGAAGAAUAGAAAAUAAUAUUACGAAAAAAAUUGUCAAACAAUAUUUUUUACUCAAAAUUAAUUUUUAUUGAUAUAUACUUUAACGUCAAGAACAGGAAGAAAUUUUCAAAAUUCUUUAGUUAACUUCUAAUUUCAGACUGUGAAAAGUAGGAACGAAAGAAGAACAUAGAAAAAAAGAAUAAUUAUUCAUCGAAUCAAUAAAUAUCAAUAGAGAAAUUCAUUUCCUCAGAGCUUAUGACCUUUUUGGUUCUUUCAAUCGUAUGAUAGGAAAUAUUGAUUAACCUACAUAAAACCCUGUAGCAGAGGGUUCCCUCCUGGUCGUUAGGUAAACUACCCAAAGGGAUUUGUGGGGUAUGAAUUGCCUGUAAGAAUAUGGCGAUAAAGCUGUGCGUCAUUCCUUCGGAAUUUGUCGAACUAGAAAUACGUGAGCGAGUGUCGUACAAGAAAUAUUUGUUACGUGUGUACUUCAUACGUUCCAAAGGGUAGUUUUACAAGGAGUUCAAGCGGUGGAAACAAUUUCUUCGUUUUCACUAGUCUUGUGUUUCUGUUAUCAAUAGAUAUACUAAAGGAAACGAAGGCGGAGGCAGGAAAAGUUCCAAUAGCCUGCAAGUAUUACAAAGGCCCGAGUUGACUGAUAUUUGAAUUAUAAUUCCAAAGAAGAUAUAUGAAAUUUCACUAUCUCGUGUUAAUGAAGUAUUCUAUAUCCGAAGUGAAACAUAUUUACUUUGGCCUGUUCUUCCUUAUAUCCGGCGAUAAAUCCUACAUGGAUAGUACAAAUGCAAUCAACCAGAUUAUGAUAUGAAAAGUUCCUUUUUCUUCUUAUAUUUAAGUGGAAGAUCAGUGAAUGGUUUGUUUAUCGAAUUUUAGAGAUACGAUUUUAUGAUAGCGACGAUAAUAUUUUUAUUAAUGAGUUGGACAUUAAGUCACUUAACUCUAGCUGUCAUAUAUGUAUUAUAUUAAUGUGUAUAAUUCAAGAACCCAUAUAUUUUUCACCUUUGUAAAGAAGAAUAUUUGAUAUGGGAAGCAAGAUGUUCGAUGAAAGAGAGGAGAUCGUAAAAGGGGCGGAGGUAGCUGACUCUGCUCACGAAUUUAUUAAAAAACUUGUAAAUGAUAUGGAACCCAAGUUGAUGAGAGAGGCACCAAAUUAUCCGACGUAUAGAAGUAAACAUGUUGCUACUGGUAGAGCAUUACUCUAGCAACCAUCGACAUCAAUAUUGAAUUUUAAUAAACGAGAGCGCAUUGGAUCGUGAAAUUAGAAGAGCGGUUCAAGAUGCAGAUAGAAUUUUAACCAAGGAAGGAACAUCGUUAGCGAUAGUUCAUAUAUGCAUUAUGUGAUUGGGAAUACCUAGGAAGAAGAAAAAGAAGAAAAAACAUUUGUGCUUGACGACGAAGUUUGGAAAGACCAUUAGGGCGUUAGUUUAUAAAGCGUCGGAAGGUAGUACGAGGAAAUGGGAGGGAUUUACUUCUCCCAAAGGAUCCAAACGUAAGGAGAAAGGAACGAAUCCAGAAAGAUAAUAUUUUCCGUGGAACUAUUUAGUUUGGAACAUAAUAUACGAAGUAUGUGAUAUAACGAAGCAUAAUUGGAUCAUUCCUUGAAAUUUUCCAGUGGGAAAUACAUUUUUCGGAAAAAGUAUUCGUUCGUAUGAAAGAACUAAAUUAGUCGUUAUUCAUCGAUCUGCAAACUAAUUAAUACUGCUAAAGGGGUAAUUGAAUUACACUGAUAAUACAAUGCUAUUAUCGAAUUGUUUGCUUCCUUUGAUGAGAGGAAAACAAAUGAAAAAAUACAUUCCUUCUUAUCCAAAUAAUGGAGGAGAUAUACGAACGCACGCUCCCAGUUCGCGCACGUAUUCCCGCCCACAUGGACUAGUGCGCAUGAGUGAACACAAGAGCACUGGUGCAUGAAGAGGGGUAAUAACAAAUCGUUUAAGCCGAAGGUACUUAACGGUACGUAUAGAAGAACGCAAUGUGUACAUGCAUUUUCAUUAAAUUCCAAUCGAAAGGUAUUUCCGCUACGUAAUAAAUUAACUCGCCCAAAUACUUAUAUUUCUGAUAGACGUCCAAUACACAUUAUGUUUAAUAAAUGACGUGAAUAUUCUGACAAACAAUAUGGAAUAUUGAACCAAACAUUUUUUCUCUGUUAAUUAUGUUGAAUAAUAAUAUAAACUGACGGUAUAACGAUGACACGGUGAGAUAACCGUACACUGCAUAUUUAACGCAUAAUUUCUAUCUACAUAUAUAUGAUCUAUAUUCGAGACUCUACAAUACAGAUCUUAUUACAUAAUUUCGUGUUUCAUACUAGGAUAUACCGUUUUAUAAGAUACGAUAGAAAGUUGUAUAGCUUUUGAUUAUUAUUUCACACUAUAUUUCAAACUGUGCAAUUCUUCUUCGAAAUGUUAUUGUAUAAUAUUGAACAGAAAAGAAAAGAAAAUUAGAGUUACCGGAUUUAUGGUAUGUUUGUUCAUACAUUUUUACGAUUUAAUCGUAUGAUCGUAUAUAGAGCCGACCGUAGUGCAGCUCUUGCCUCUUCCAUGAUGUUACACCGUGUUUGCUCUCCCUAUUGACUCUAAAACUACCUAUUGAUGAGUCUAACAGGUGGGUUGAUUUUCUCGGCUGAUACUAGUUGAAUUGCUGGCUUUUCGGUCAGUUAAUCAAUUAGAAUAGAGAUACAUGAUGCAAUGAGAACGGGAGUACAAAGAGACAAAUGGAGCAUCUUCGAGAUAUACAUAUAAUCAAUCGAAACGGUAUCGUAUGUUUUCGUAAAUAAUCGUAUUAGUUUUCUUUUUGUAAUUAUCAUACCUUCCGCUUGCUUGAAGCGAAAGUCUGUUUCAGAGAGUUUGAAAGAGAUAUUGACGUAUUUUUCUGAUAGAAAUAAAAUUCUGAAUAUAAACUCAAAUAUUGUGAUAAAUAGUUAGGAAUCUUAAAAAGUAUAUUAAAAGAUUAGUCGAUCGAUUUUAAUAUCUUCGGAAGAUUCUGAAGUAUGUUUAAUAAAAAUAAAAUAUCAGAGAUCGAAAUUUUUUAGGGAUCACUUUUUUUCAGUACCACCUCGUAAAUCGUUUAAUUCCAAUAACUAUGAAAUAUGCGGACAGAGCAAUUUAAAGGUGCUCGAAUAUUCACUUUGAUAUAUUGACAUUAUCAUUAUCGACAUUAUUUUCCAAGAAAUUCGACCUAAGUUGAAAUGUGACUCAUCUUUAUCCUCACUUUCCGCUUCUUCAUCUCCUAAAUUUCCAUUUUCUUUUCCUUUUUCUUCAACAUUGAUUAGCAGAACUUACUUUUUGGAAUCCUUGUGAAUCGUCCUGAUAUUUUCUUUAUCGUUCCCAAUCACCCGAACGGCAUUGAAAUAAACAUUAUUACGGUACAUAUAAUUUUCUAGUCAAUUGCUAUCCAAAUUAACAUUAGUUCGAUAUUCAAAGACACGGUCAACGUUAUUAGAGAUCCUUAUUUUCCCUUCUCGACAGCGUUGCAUACUUCUGAAGAUGGAACAAGUUGGAAUGAAAGAGGAUUCCGGAAUGAAAUCUUCUUUUCUACGCAGGAAUAUUUCCCCAAUAGAGAAAACAUUCACCUUUGAUCCACUAUCUGCGUGUACCGUCGGACAUCUCAUGGACAAACUUUCUGAACGCAAUCGAUUAUAUCCUCUUACCGAAGCAGCUUAACCUCGGAUCCUUUGCAGCGAGAUAUUUCCUAGCCUCCUACCACCGUUCGAACGUAGCUUUAUGAAACAAUACAACAUGGGAAUCGGGACGGUUCGUCGUCAUGACCAUUAAAAAUGUUUUCUUCCUAUAUCUCUUUCUGGUUAUUAUCGAUUACCUAACGAGCACGGUAUAAAAGAAGGUAUUAGGAGUAAGUUAAAGACAAGAACGAUGUUUCAAAAGGAAAUGUCUUGCUAUUGAUUCCUGCAUGAUCAUUUAUAGUAAUCCUUAGAAGCACUAGAAAAAUUUUGAAAGACGUUGAGAAUUUUAGAUAAUAAAAUAUCUCCGACCUAUCUCUAAUUCAUUGUGUGCUCUACAUGCAUGAGAUAUAUGGAUAUGUAUUUUUUUCCCCACUUUUUAAAAUUGGGCCUAUAAUGUGAAGUAUCCUGCACUGUCGAUGAAAUGUAACGAAAAACUGAAAAUUUCAAAGGACGAUUAGAUACUUCUCAUGCUGAUCACUUCGCCGAUUAUACAAAUUUUUAUUAUGGAAAAAAGAAAUCGGAAAAAACUAUUGUUUGCAUAAAUAACAUUUUCGGCCGACGUUUGACAGAUGGAAAUUACAAAUUUGGUUAAUAUUAACUCUUAAUACGGUGCGAUGAAUUAAUCGAAGCAGAAGCGUUUAUCACAAUAUACAGUAGUGUAAAGUGGAUCAUUAGAUAUGGGAGUCAAUAGGAAAUGGGAACAGUCAGUCGAAUUGAAACAGAUUGGUCCACAAACCUGUCUCCCCCCACACCAAUCUCUUGAGGAACGUUUGACCGCGGAAUAAGGAGUUUUGAUUGACUGGCCUAAAACGCAUCCCAAGAAUAACGCGAAAAGAAACAUAAAUAUAAUCAAUGUUUUUAUGUAAAUCUAUAUUCUUUUUCACUAUGUAAUAAAGAAAGAGAGAAGCUUGUUAACUUGAAUAAUACAAAUAAAACAGAAGAUAAUAUUACGAAACAAAUUUUCAAGCAAUAUUUCUUGCUGGACAUUAAUAUGUAUUUUUAAAUAUUUUAAACGAUAAAACUGGGAAAAAUAUUAAUAGUCGAUUAUCAAAAUUCUUUAGUUAAUUUCUAGUUGCAAAUUGUAAAGAACAGAAGGUAUGAAACAAAGAAAAGACCAGAAACAAAAAAGGAAAAUAAUUUCUCCAGUUAAUGGGAGUAUCAUUGAGAAGUUUUGCUUACUUACUUCCCACCCACGACAUUUCGGCUCUUUCUUUGACAUAAUACGUGGUAUUGAUUAACUGCAUAGAAUGUAAAUCUCUUUCCACCGAGCCACGCCUCGGAAAUUAGCUAGGUCAUCCAAGAUGGCGAUUUGCGGAAGAAACUCUCCCGCAGAAGUCAUCUUCUCAAUAAUUUUUGAAGGAGUAAUACGCAAAGGUAUACGAGACUAACCUAAGGCAAAAGCAAUUCCAAUUUCUGGGAAGUAUUGCAGAGGAUCCGUAUUGAACGAUAUCUGGAUUCUAAUUACGUCCAAAGAAGAUAUAUAGAUUUCAACUAAGCCCAAUGUGAUCAUUAAACAUUUGACAUCCAAAAUGAUACACUCUUCAAUUGGUACUUCCUGUUCUUCCUCACAUCCGACGAUUCGUUUUACUUGGCUAGUAGAAAUGUCCGAAAGUCAACGAGCGUAGGAAAUGGAAACGUUUACCUCUUCAGACUUAUAUUUAAAUGAGAUUUUAUCUUGGCAACGAGAAUAUUUCUGUUGAUUAGCAUUAUUGAAGCAUAUUGAAGCAGAAGCAUGUUUCAAGAGACAAUUGAAAAUUCUAACAAAGGAAGGAAUAUCAUUAGCUAUUGUCCAUGUAUGCAUUAUGUGAUUGUGAAUACCUAGGAAGAGGAAAAAGAAGAAAAGACAUACGUGCUUGACGACGAAGUUUCUAAAGCCCAAUAUGGCAAUGUUUUAUGAAGCUUGGAACAAGGGUACGAGGAAAUGGGAAGGACUUACCUUUUUCAAAGCAUCUAACUAUGAGCGGCUUUAGCUGGAGGGUAUAAGCGAUUGUGUUCAAAAAGCUUUGUCGAAGAGCCGUCCGACGUUCCAUGCGAGGUAAGGGUCAAAGGGGAAUUAAAAUUAAACUGAGGGAGGUUUAUAAUACAAAAUAAUUGAACAGACAGGGACGAUCAAAAGAUUCAUCUUUUUUCAAAGUAAUACCAUUAGCAGGGGAAUACUUUUAAAGUAAACGUGAAAUAGAAAGUCCACGUCACGUCAUUGUUAUUCCAUCGAUUUAAAUUAAGUAACAAUUCGAAAUAAUUAAAUGGGAGAAGUAUUGAAUUCUAUAUUUCAAACUGUUUGCCGUAACAUUCGCAACAUAUACUUAAAAGAUAUUCGUAAUAUUUAAUUAGCGUUUUUCUUAAAUAUUGAAAUUUGGACGAAAUAAUUGGGUGCGUAGCGCUAAUUACCCAUUUAGUAUGUUAUGAAAGGAAUUUCGUUAUAGUGGAUGUCCGUAAUACGUUCUCCCAUAUUUAUCGUCAAGUACCUUCGUUUAAACCUUUCUCCAUUAUCUCUCUCCAUGUACGUGUGCUCUGGUGCGCGUCUAUCCGCGUAAGGUCGAGUGGUUGGCAUUGAGUGUGCGUGUGUACGUAGAACUCCUGUCUUAUUUUGACAAUAAGGAAAGUAUUUUUUCAUUUAUUUUCCUGUCAUCAGACCAAGCGAACAAUAGGAGAUUGGCUGUAUUAUUCAGUUGCCUAUUUAGCUUCAUUGUUUGAUAGCACGCUUGCUUGAAUAUAGCAAUAGCCUAUAUUCUUAGGAACCAAUUGAUUUGGAACAUGAUAUACGAAAUAUUAGGUAAUUAGAAGUAUAAUGGGAUUAUUGUUUUGCAUUCUCCAACAGGGAGUAACUUUCUAGAACAAUUUACCCGUUCAUAUGGAAGAAUCAUAUCAGCCGUGGUAUAUCGAUCAGCAAAAGACAAAUUAAAUCAUACAGCUAAAUAGAUAAUUGAGUUAUACCGCUAAUCGUAUUAUCGCAUUCUGCUUGGUUUGAUGAGAGGAGAACUAAUGAAAAAAUACCAUCCUUGUUUUCAAAAUAUGAGUGGAGAUGUACGCAACACGCACACUCAUUUCCGUCCACUUGACUGGAGCACGUAAACGCGCAUGGGCACGGAGAGAGGUAGUAAUAAAUCGUUCAAUAUGAUGGUGCUGGACGAAAGGUAGGAGAGAAGGUAAUCCUCAACGAGCAAAUCGUUAAAUGCCGAUCGAUACCCAUUAACAAGGAAAUUUGUAGACAAGGAGGAUCAUAUAGUUUUGCAAAAAAAAAUCACAGUUUUGUCCAUUAUAAUUUUCUAUGAUAUGUGCGAUAAAUGUUGAAUCAAUUCUUUUCCAACAUUAUCAUCCCUCGCAUUAUGUGUGAGGUCUUUCCGUUUUAUUAUUACAUGACAUCAGUAUUACUGCUGUCGUUUUAUAUUUUUUAUAUUUUUUCCCGAUUAAUAUUUUUUUUUCUAACAUGUCUGUAUUAAUAUUUGUCUUGAAUCCAAAAUUCUCCUUCGAUAUUACUUAUGACACGAAACUAACUCAUGUUUGGAAAUUUUGCCAUUCUCUUAAUGAAAAAGAAAUGGGUAAUUAAAAGCUUGGUAGUCUCAAAUUGUAUAAACUCUCUUUAAGUGGUUGAAAGAAGCUUUCAGACCAUUGUGAACGAACUUCUUCGUAAAAUCGACUGAUAUACUUUUUAUAUAAUUUGUUUAUUUGACCAUUUCUUUAUUAACUAACUCAGUGGUUCUCUCGGUGGGGAAACACGGGAAAGAGGGGAAGGUAAUAUUAGGAAACCAUAAAUGUAACGAAAGACAUAGAGUACAAUAUUUACAUAAAGAUACAAAUAUAAUUACGUAACUAUAGGAGAGGGGAAAUAUUUAUCCCCAUGCGUUCUAGUUAGAGGAUUAGAAUCUAGAAUGCUUGGUCUUCUAACGUGACGACAUGGGAUUUUCCGACCCAGCAAGUGUGUCUCAUACGCGAAAUAAUCCCUAGUUGUCAUACGUACCAAAGAACAGCUUUACAAAUAAUACUAACGGUUUAAACACGAUUAGAUUCAGUAGAAAAUUUCAUUUCUAUAUCAUAGAAAUGAAAUUGAUUCUCUUGAUUCAUAGCAUUUUAAUUAUUAUUUUGUUGCGUUUAGGAAUAGUUGCUGUAGCAUUUAAAAGGCUUCAUCUUAUUUAUUUUCGGUAGUUAUACGAUUGAAAUAUAUCAAAUUAUAGCGAAAGUAUUAUGAUAUGUAUUAUGAAGUUACGGUACUCAUUAAGCACACAUAGUAUGUGUAUAUAAAUGUAGUAUAACAGCUAAUUGAGAUAAACUUCCAUAUAAUCCCCAUUUAAGGAGUGUAUACUGCCAUGUAUUUGUCUUUAUAAGAAAAUGUUCGUUCUUUACUUCGAUAUAUUACGGUAAACUUAAAUUCGAAAAAAAUUUAAUCCAAUGUACAUUUUCUUCGAAGAAUAAUUUCUUAUUUACAGUAAGAAAAUUUGCUACUUUCAUUUCCGUUUAAAGUUCUUCGACAUGUAUCUACUUAGCGAGAUUGUAAUCCAAUCUCUUUUCCAAUAAAUAAACAUUUAAUCUAUUAAAUAUAACUAGUAAGUAUAAGGUAGACUUACGAAAGAAGUAACAGUACGAAUUUCCUAUAUGAAUAUUCGAUUAAUUAGUCUUGAUAAUUACAAUAAUUAUUAUUAUAAUAGUUAAUUAUAUCAUAAAUAAUUACAGUUUUAUAUGAUUAUUUCAAUUAAAAAAUAGACGAAUUAUUGUAAGAUUCUCAUUAGGAAAUUCCAAGAUAUAUUACACAGAUCAUUUCGCGUGAACAUAGAAUAUAUAUACAUAUAAUUACAUAACUAUAGGAGAGGGGAAAUUAUUUAUCCCCAUGCGUUCUAGUUAGGGAAUUAGAUUUUACGAAGCUUGGUCUUCUAUCCUGCUAACAUGGGACUAAUAAAACUAGGUUAAGUCAUUCCUUCCGUGAUUUUCGACCCAGUAAUACGCAAGUGCGUCUCAUACGCGAAAUAAUCCCUAGCUAUCAUACGUGCCAAACAACAGCUUUACAAAUAAGAGAAACGAUUGAAACACCCUUUAUCACUGAUCAUUCUAUUAUUCCAUUAAUAUUCUUUAAAUUUAGCACUAUAUUUGUAUAAGAUUUAUUAGAAAAUUCCAUUUCCAUAUUAUAGAAGUUACCGGAUAAUUACUCCAAUUUGGGAUUCAUACCAUUUAGAAUAUUUGAGAUAAAUUCACUUAUAAAUAAUAAUACUUUCUUCGACUGCAUAUAAUCUACGAAAAUAUUCAAUAAAUUAUUAUAAAAUAAAUAGAUAUGAUAUAGAUUUUACAUUCCACAUUACAUUUUAGAAUAAAAAAUUUAUCUUACCUCUAAAACAUCUUACCAUUAAAUAAACACAGCAUUGAUUGAUUUUCCAUUUAAACAUAAAUGUAAAAAGGAAAAUGUUUCCAUAUAUUAAUCUCGUUGAUGGUCUGGCAUUUGUACUAUCCAUGUAAGACGUAUCGUCGGAUGUACGGAGGAACAGAAAGUGUCAACGGAAAUGUGUUUCACUUCGGAUGUGCAAUGUUUUAUUAUCUGGUGGAGCGUUGUUCUUCUUUGGAAUUACAAUUCAAAUAUAAGUCAGUUCGGCUCCUUUGCAAUACAUCCAAGCUAUUGGAACUGCUUUCAUCUUCGGUUAGUUUAGUAUAUUUCUGAAACAAUAUAAAAUUCGUAGAUUAUUUAAGACUUACGGUAGCCAUUCAAUUGUUCAUCUAAUUGCAUAUAAUUGCAAUAGUUCAUCUAACUCAAAAAUAAAUUUUGCUACAUCCUUUUAAGCGAUAUAAAGUACCUUUUCCGAAAUGCAGCAAACAAUAGUUUAGAUAGUAUUGAUCACGAAAAUACUUUCAUUUCCAUAAGGUAUACUUGAAAUUUUAUAAUAAAUCAAAAACUCAUGACUACCAACAAAUUUACUUUACAUUGAUAGUAUAAGCAAAUGACUAGUAAGAAUGAAGAAAUUGUUUCCACCGCCUGAAUUACUUGUAUAACGGAUCUCUGAAACGUAUGAAGUAUGCACGAACGAAUAUUUGUUGUACCACACUCGCUCGCGUAUUACUAGUUCGAUAACCACCGAAGGAAUGACAUGCAGCUUAUUCGCCGUCCGCCGAACGGCGGUAUAUGUACAGCGCACAUCGCUUGGGGUUGUUAACCGAGCGACCACGAGGGCGCCCUCUGCACAGGGUUGUUACAAUUGGGGUAGAUUAAUCAAUAUAUGGAAAGAAUCAAGAUGGUUAUAAGCUACGAGGAAAUGAAUUACUUUCGUUUCUUUUUCCCCUCCUUAUCUUUACAAUUUGAAAUUAGAUACUAAUUAAAAAAUUCUGAAAGUUGGCAAAUAUGUUUUUUCCUAUUUUUGUCGUUAAGAAUAUUUAUCAAUAAGAAUUAAUUUGGUGCAAAGAACAUUGUUUCACAAUUUUUCUUGUAAAAUUAUUUUCUGUUCUUUUUCUAUUACUUAAGAUAACAAUCUCUUUUUUACACAUCUGUCUUUAUUUAUAACGAUUGAUUCGACGUAAAUGAUUUGCAGGUGAAACGUUCUCCCAAACUUAUCGUUAAAUACCUUCAUACUGUACAAUUAUUAUGGUCUCUCUCCAUUCGUGUGCGUACUUUUGCGCGUGCGGGAUCGUAUUAAAGCAGAUGGGAUGAUUGGGCGAUGCUAUGGGCGUGUGUGCCUAUGAUUCCUCUCGUAUCUUGAAAAUGAGAAAGAUAUUAUUUCAUUUGUUUUCCUCUCAUCAAACCAAGCAGACAUUUGGAUAAUACGAUUACCUGUAUAAUUUAGAAAUCUCCUUAGAUGGAUGAUUUAAUUACCCUGUUAAGUCUUUUACUUUACUUUACCACUGAUUUAGUUCUGAUAUAGAAACGUCUACAUUUCCCUAAAAAUUUACUCCCGAUUGGAGAAUUUAAAAAAUUAUCUAAUUUUACUUCUAGUUAUGCAAUAUUUCUUAUACUAUGUUCCUUACUAAUUAGUUCCAAGCGAAAUAUUAUAUUUCUCUAAUCUUUUAUUUCUUAUUUCGUACAACUGAGUAUAACAGAGAUUAUAUUCUAUUUCUAGUAACAUGAUAUUCGUAUUUUCCGAAUAUAUUAACUGAAUGUUUCAAAUUCUCAAUAAGCGCAUAUAUAAUCUAACAUUGAUAUAAUAAUUGCCCCAGUACAAUAGAGAUUCAUUAUACUUAUUAAUGUUAUUAUUAUUAUAUCAACACAUAAGUUAUAAAUGGUGUAGAAAGAGAGCCUUUUCAUGAAAUUAGCCCUCCUUCGGUAUACAGUUCUUUAAAUUCGAAAAGGAGAUAUGUAACAUUAGAUUUAACAACGUAUAAUGAUUAAAAGGAAUAGGGGGGAUCAAAAGAAGAAAAAAGAAUCAAAAGGAGAAAAGAAGGAUAAUACGUAAAAGAGAUCUCCCCUUUACGGUAGUAAGGAUCCGAAAUUAUUAGGAACAUUUCGAAGGGAUUACUAGGGAUGAUACCCUCUUUAAUACACGAAAAAAAGCGAGUGGAAACAGUACACGCUCCAACAAUUAGAGAGCUUACUACCUAUAUGCAGUAGUUGAAUAAGCUAUUUAUUCUGAAUGGAGUCGAAAUCUUCAUUCAGGCAAGUUUCUAAGAGUUUCUUAAGAGGGGUGAUCCAGAAUAAAAAAUGAGCUCCCAAUUAGUCGCCAUAAUGGAAAUCAUUUAUAUCAUUUUAUGCUCUCGGAUAGAUAAAUCAUAUUUGAAUUUUAUACCGUUUAAGAUUAACGCAAAAAUUCAUUUUCAUUUAUUAUUAUUUUUUUUUUUAUUAACAUAUUAUAUACAAACGCAUAAUUCUGUAUACAUAUCUAUGACCUAUAUUCGCGAUGCUACAUUAUAGACCAUAGUAUUGGAAAGUUGUAUAGUUUUUUAUUAUUAUUUUGCACUAUAUUUUACACUGUGCAAUUUCUCUUCGGUAUACUAUUGUAUAAUAUUGAACAAAGAAGAAAGUACAAUUGGAGUUAUCGGAUAUAGGAUAUUUUUGUUUAGACGUUUAUACGAUUAUAUCGUAUAAUCGUAUAUAGAGCCAAUUUGUACAGCUGUUGGCUACUACAUGAUAUUAUUGCGUGUUUGCGAUCCCUAUGAUACUACUUAGUGACGAGUCCGACAGACUCGUUGAUUUUCUUGAGUGAUACUAGCUGAAUUGCUUGCUUAUCGGUCAGUUAAUCAAUUAAAAUAGACUGACAAAAAAAAUUCGACGUAUAAUGUAAAGUAUUAUGUCACUGUCGAUGAAUUUUAAGGAAAAAUUGAAAAUUUCAAAAGACGAUUAGAUACUUCUGAUGUUGAUCACUUCGCCGAUUAUAUAAUUUAUAUUAUGCAAAGAAAAUUGAAAAAAAAAAUAUUAUUUGAAUAAAUAAAAUUUUUGGUCGACGUUUGACAAAUGAAAAUUCAAAAUGUAGGUAAUAACGUUCACAAGAUAUUGUAAUUAUGAGAAAAUUUCAGCAAUAAAAUUAAUUCCUUUUCAUUUAAUAUUAUCCAUUAAUAGGGCGCGAUGAAUUAAUUGAAGCGAAAGCGUUAUUACACUAUGCAAUUAUACAAUGUGGAUUAUUUCAUAUGGUAGUUCGCAGCAAAGGGCAACAGUAAGUCGGCUUAAGAGGGAUUGGUGGACAAAUCCGGUUCUCCCCACUCACAUCAUGUUCAGCUCUUUCAACCGCGGAAUAUGAAGUGUCGAUUGAACUGCGUAAAGCCCAUUCAAAUGAAUUACGCGAAAAGGAAAAUAAAUAUAGCCAAUGAUUUUCUCUGAAUCCAUAUUUUUUGGCACUGUGUAAUAAAGAAAGAGAGAAGCUUGUUAACUUAAAUAACGCAAAGAGAAUUAGUAAUAUUAAGAAACAAAUUUUCAAGCAAUAUUUCUUGCUCGAUAUUAACAUUUAUUUCUAAAUAUUUUAAACGAUAAAAAUGGGAAAAAUAAUAAUAGUCGAUUAUAAAUAUUCUUUAGUCAAUUUCAAAAUUGUAAAUUGUAAAGAACAGGAAUGAAAAAGAAACCAGAAACAAAAAAAAGAAAAUAAUUUGUCCAGUUAAUGCGAGUUCAUAGUGAAAUUACUUCCUUCAGUCCCACGACAUUUCGGUUCUUUCUGUUGCGUAGUACGCGGUAUUGAUUACCUUGCAUAAAAUGUAAUGGCUCCUACCAUCGAGCCCUGCCUUGCAGAUCAGCUCGGUCAUCCGACGAGGCAGUCUGGUGGAGGAACUCCUCUGCGGAAGUCAUCCUUUCAAUAAUUUUUGAUCGAGUAAUACGCAAGUAAGUGACAAAUAAUAGCGUCUAUACGUCUAUAUAAUACUUCAUUCGUCCCAAGGGAAACUUACAAGCAAUCCAAACGAGAUAUACCAGGUUAAACGAAAGCGAAAGCAGUUUCAAUAGCUUAGAAAUAUUGCAAAGCUGCACAAUUGACUGCAUGAUUAUUAAAUAUUCGACAUUCGAAAUGAAACACAUUUACUUUGGCAGUCCUUGCUCUUCCGUAUAUCCGACGAUAGGUCGUUUAUGGAUAGCAUGAAUGUCGGACCAUCAAACAGAUUAAGAAAUGAAACCGUUUUCCUUUUUAAUCUUAUAUUUAAAUGGUCGAUCAAUCAAUGUUGUAUUUAUCGAAUGAUUUUAUGAUGACGACGCGAGUAUUUCUCUUGAUGAGAGGGACAUUAGGUCUCUUAACUAUAGCUAUCCCGAAUAUUGUAGUAGUGUAUAUAAAUCAGGAACCUACAUAUUUAUUAACUAAUGUAAUGAAAAAUAUUAUAUAUAUGGGAAGCAAGAUGCUCCAUGAAAGAGAGGAGAUCAUAAAAGCAGAGGAGGAAGCUGAUGCUGCUCACGAAUUUAUUACAAAUCUUCCAAAUGAUCUGGUAGGCAAGUUAGUGAGGGAAUCACCUAAUUAUCUGGUUUAUGGAAACAACAUGUUUCUAUUGCUAUAGCAUUACUAUAGCAACCAUCGACAUCAAUAUUGAAUUUUAAUACACGAGUGCAUUGAAUCGUGAAAGCAGAAGAGUGGUCCAAGAAGUUGGAAAUUCGAACUGAAGAAGGAACAUCAUUAGCUACUGCUCUUGCGUGCAUUAUGUGAUUGAGAAUACCUAGGAAACGGAAAAAGGAAAAAGAACAUUUGUGUCUUUCCGACGAAAUUUGGAAAAACCAAUAUGGCAUUGUUUUAUAAAGUUUGGAACGGUGGUACGAGGAAAUGGUUGGGAUUUACCUUCUUCAAAGGAUCCAAACGUGAGCGGCUUUAGCUGUAGGCUAUAAGCGACUGUACUGAGAUCGAUUUGUCGACCUUCCACGCAGGGCCAGGAUCAAAUAGGAAUUGAAAUGAAACUGAGGGAAGUAUAUCAUACAUAAUAAUUUAACAUACAGGGACGAUCAAAGGAUUCACUGUUAACAGGGAAAUACUUUUAAAUUAUACGUGAAAUGGAAAAUCCACGUUCACGUGAUUUUUAUUCCAUCGAUUCAAAUUAAGUAAGCAUUCGAUAUUAUUAAGAAAGGAGAAAUGCUGAAUUCUGUAUUUGAUAUUAUUUCUCAUAACACUCACGACAUGUACUUAAAGAAUAUUCGUAAUAUUUAAUUAGCGUUUUUCUUAAAUAUUGAAAUUUGGACGAAGAAUUCGGUAGCACAAAGUAUCUGUUUUUAAUACGUUCUCCCAUAAUUAUCGAGAAAUACCUUCGUUUCAAACCUUUCGGUAUUAUCUCCCUCAAGUGCACGGCUAUCUGCGGCGGUUCGAGUAGCCGGGGAUGAGUGAGCGGUCCUGCGUGCGUUUAUGCGAACAACCCCUAUUUUACCUUCAUAUAAUUGGAGAUUAGCUCUAUAAUUACAUUACCUAUUUAGAUUCAUCGUUUGAUAGCACGAUUACUUAUUUUGCAGAGUAAUGGAUUAUUUUCUUAGGAACAAUUUGAUUUGGAACAUAAUAUACGAAACAUUAGAUAAUUAGGAUUAUUUUUUUGCAUUCUUUAAUAGGGAGUAAAUUUCUAGGAAAGUGUUUCGGUUCAUAUAGAAAAAUUAAAUCAGUCGUGGUACAUUGACGUCCAAAUUAUCCAGGUAACUGCAUGAUAUAGCUAAAUGGAUAAUUGAAUUAUACAGCUAAUCUUAUUAUCGAAUUGUCUGCUUCGUUUGAUGAGAGGGAAACUCAUGAAAAAAUACCUUUCUUGUUUUUAAAAUAAGAGAAGUGAUGUACGCAGAAACGCCCACUUAUUCCCGUCCAUUCGAGCUGCACUUGAAAAGCGCGCACGGAGAGGAACAACAAUGCAUCGUUUAAUAUCAUGGUGCUUGACGAUAGGUACGCGGGAAGGUUUUGCGUACGCACAGAUCGUUAAAUUCCGAUCAAUACUCGUUAACAGGGAAAUUUGUAGACGUGAAGGAUCAUAUAUUUUUGCAAAAAAGAGCAAAAUUUUGUCCUUUAUAAUUUUUCACGAUUCUUUUCCAACAUUAUCAUCCCUCGCGUUAUGUAUGAGAUCUCUCCGUUUUCUUGUUGGAUGUCAUCACUAUCACUUCUAUCGUUUUCUUCCGAAUUAAUAUUCAUUUUUUUCUCACCGUGUAAAUGGAAUUCCUCUUCGGUAUUACUUAUAGCACGAAACUCACUCGUGUUUGGAAAUUUUGCGAUUCUCUUAAUGAAAAAGAAAUAAGUAAGUAAAUGGAUUGGUAGUCUCAAAUUGUAUAUUACGACAUCACGGAAUGAUACAUAACAAUAAUAUAAUACUUUCCUGGUUUCCUGACUAAUUAGUCGAGGGAUCUAUUUAUACUACUCGAAGUUUCAAUACGAAGUGAGCUCAGCUUUGAAAAUCUCUUUCCCUCCUGUUUUAUGAAUACUCGUUUACUUCAUCAAAUAUCACUAUAUCGUACGAGGCAUACUCAUGUACUAUUACAAACAAUCGCUAAAAAAUUCAUCGCUCUCUUUAAGCAGGCUAGAUAAGCAUCCAGACCGUUGUGAACGUACUUCUUCUUCAUAAAAUAUAAAAGUAUAAAUUAUAAAUGUUUUAGGAAGAUAGCCUUUCCAUGAAAUAAUCUUUCCUUCUGAAUAGAAUUUUCUGAUUCUACUUUCUUGGUAAUGUCAAUAUUCUCUUUACGAAAAAUAAAUAAAUUUGAAUAACCAAAUACCACAAAAAGGUCACUGCCCCAAAACGGGAUAAACAAAAUUAGAUAUUUACAAAGUAAAAUGAUCGAAAGGAUAUGAAUAUGCAGAAUGAUUCAUAGGAGGAUACAAAGGCAGAGAAAUAAUCAAAAAGAAACGCAUGAAUGAAAAUUAAAAAAAGAAUUAUCCUCUACGAUAGUUUCGAAUUAAUAAUAAAAAGAGUAGAAAAAAUGAGUAGGAAAAAUAGUAGAAAUAAAUUUAUUAAAUAUUUCAAUCUAUCGCGUUAAAUCUAUCUAUAUAUUAAUCUAUCGUAUCUAUUGGAAUGCAUUACAAGAUGUUGAUCCUCAAUCUUGUAGGCUUCAAUGCAAAUUCUCGGAAGACUCAAAUGAAAGAAAAUCCAAAAUAAUAUAUAAGCCACCAAUCAGUCGCGAUAAUCGAUUGUGUAUCAUACAUAUCAAUUUAAACAAGAUGCUCUCAUAUUUGAAUAUUUUGUUUCGACCUAUCAACCUGAAUGUUUGGUCGAGGGUUAUUUUUUUAUACAGUCAGUUGCAAAAGACGUAAUUAUUAAUAGAGGGACAUAGAGCUAUCUUCGGUAGUCAUUUUUAAGUUGAUUGCAUAUUGUUUUUCAUUUGAGUCUUCCGAGAAUUUGCAUAGAUGCCUACAAGAUUGAGGAUCAACAUCUUUUAAUGCAUUUCAAUGAUUACGAUAGAUUGAUAUAUAGAUUAGAUAUUUAUGACAAGCUUUCUUCUUUUACACACUUCAUUGCUUUUUGUUUCUAUUAGUAGAAAAUUAUAUAAAAUAAAAUAUAAUAUAAUUAUAAUUAUAUAAAAAAGUUUCCUUUAUAAUACACGGACGUCUAUAUCAUCAGGAUCAGAAGUGUUACAGUUCUUUGGUUUUAUGCAACUUAAUAUGGGAAACCAAUUUCUAUGGCCAUUGUCUCCAAAGCAAUAAGAAUAUGAUACGAUCAAAUUAGAAAUUUAAAGCAGAAUUUUCACAAAUAUUUCUAUUAUAAUUAUUACUCGCCGCUAAUCAAGAAAAUGAAGAAUUACUUACAGCAGAUUGCCAGGAAUAGAAUAUACUCGUCGUAGCCAUUAAUAUUCCUCUUUAAUGGUUCCUUGAAUUAUGUGCUCGACUCUCCUGGACGUGUAUAUUUCUAUCCUCUUGAUAUUUUAUUCUGUUAAACACACUUCAGAGUUUUCUGAAAAUAUGAAAAAUGUUCAAUUAAUCUUUUACUAUAUUUUCUCAGCAUCCUAAUUAUUUAUUUAAAAAUUAGGAUCCAUAUUCAGAAUUUUAUUUUUAUCAGAAAAAAUGUCAGAAUCUCCUUAAAACAUUCUCAAAUGAACUUUCGUUUCAAUCAAAUGGAUGAAAAACAAAAACUAAUAGGUUUGAUCGCAAAAGCAAACGAAACCGGAUAUGUGUCUCGAAGACAACUCGUCUCUACGUUCAUCUCUUUGUAUUCUUAUCAUGGACUCAUGCAUCUCUAUUCUAAUUGAUUAGCUGCCCGGCAAACAAGCAAUUACUAGUUUCAGACAAGUAUUAAAGAGGAAUAUUAAUGGCUAGGACGAGUAUAUUCUAUUCCUGGCAAACCACUUAGUUUGUUGGACUCGUCAACAGGUAGUACCACUGAGACAGGAAAUACGGAGUAGUAACGCGAGAUACCAAGCACAUGUGCAACAGUUGGCUCCAUAUACGAUUAUCCGAUUGGUUCGUAUAAAUGUCUAAAAUGAAAUAUCCUAAUUCCGAUAACCCUUAUUACGCUUCCUCCUCGUUUUAAUUUUAUAAAAUAAUUCAAAAUUAUGCUACAAGUAAAAUAUCAAUCACUGGUAAAAUAUAGUAUAUAAUAAUAAUAAAAAUAAAUUAACCACAGCAUUAAAAAAUAAUAAGAAACUACGCAAUUUUCUAUAAUCUUCUAUAAAACAAUAUAUCGUAGUAUUAGAUAUGAACUUGUAUUGAAAUCAUUUUCAUAAGAUUUUGUUCUUUAUAUUGCAUGCUAUAGGCAAUAGGAUAAUUUUAUAUAUCUAUCUAUGAGUUUAUGUUAAUGGCGUUAUGUUAUGCCCUAAAAGUUCUAAUUAUAAAUGGAGGCAGAUUUAUAUUCGCUAAUACUUAGGAAGUUCAUUACAUUCUGUUUAAAAUUAUUAUAAAUAUUUUCUCUUUUAUCUACUACGUUUCUGAAUGGAAUUUUCUUUAUUCUUUUCAGUCGAAAGGCGCAUUCGAUACAUCUAUUAUUAUAUAUAUGUAUCGAUUUAUAUUUAUAUAUAUGUUCACUUAUCCAUCUGUUUUUUCUAUAAUGCCUUACUUACGAUGUAUAUAUUAGAGGCAAACUACGAGCGCAUAUAUUUAUAUUUUUAUCUAUUAUUUCGUGAAUUAUCUGUGCCGUCUUAAUAAUUAAGAAGGAUGUAAAUAGAUGGAAGUUGAAAAAGAAAAUUGAAAGAUAAGAAAGUGAAAAUAGAUAUUUAAAUUCAAGAAGAAAAGAAGCGAACGAGUGUGCAUUAGGAAAGUGAAUCAGUUGAUAUCGAAUUCAUAUUUUCAUAUAGUUGUUUAGGAUGGAUUAUUUGUAAUUAAAUUUUUGAUAAAUAUUUACUUCUUCGGAAUAUGAAGACAAAAUUGACCGAAAAAAAAAGAAUAAAAUUAAAAGCUAAUCGACAAAACUUGAAGCAAUUUAUUUUUAAUCGAGGCAACAUCGUGUUCAGACAAAACUCUAAGAAAGAAAAGAUAAUUAGCAUGAACAUUGGCUGCAUAACUUUCGAAGUAUUAGCGAAUAUAAUUCUGCCUCCAUUUAUAAUUAGAACUUUUAGGGCAUAACAUAACGCCACUUAUAUAAACUCAUAGAUAGGUAUAUAAAAUUAUCCUAUUGUUUAUAGCAUGCAAUAUAAAGAGCAAAAUCUUAUGAAAAUGAAUCUUCGCGUUGGUUAUUCAAAAACUUAAAUAAGAUGUAACUUAUCAAGAACAUAAAGAAAAAUAUCAUCGAAUCCCAUUACCGAAUCCAAUUAUGUAGCCAAUGUUCAUGCUAAUUAUCUUUUCUUUCUUAGAGUUUUGUCUGGACACGAUGUUGCCUCGAUUAAAAAUAAAUUGCUUCAAGUUUUGUCGAUUAGCUUUUAAUUUUAUUCUUUUUUUUCGGUCAAUUUUGUCUUCAUAUUCCGAAGAAGUAAAUAUUUAUCAAAAAUUUAAUUACAAAUGAUGCAUCCUAAACAACUAUAUGAAAAUAUGAAUUCGAUAUCAACUGAUUCACUUUCCUAAUGCACACUCGUUCGCUUCUUUUCUUCUUGAAUUUAAAUAUCUAUUUUCACUUUCUUAUCUUUCAAUUUUCUUUUUCAACUUCCAUCUAUUUACAUCCUUCUUAAUUAUUAAGACGGCACAGAUAAUUCACGAAAUAAUAGAUAAAAAUAUAAAUAUAUGCGCUCGUAGUUUGCCUCUAAUAUAUACAUCGUAAGUAAGGCAUUAUAGAAAAAACAGAUGCAUAAGUGAACAUAUAUAUAAAUAUAAAUCGAUACAUAUAUAUAAUAAUAGAUGUAUCGAAUGCGCCUUUCGACUGAAAAGAAUAAAGAAAAUUCCAUUCAGAAACGUAGUAGAUAAAAGAGAAAAUAUAUAAAUUAAUUUUAAACAGAAUGUAAUGAACUUACUAAGUAUUAGCGAAUACAAUUCUGCUUCCAUUUGUAAUUAGAACUUUUAGAACUAUUUGUAAGAAAACAGGUAGUACUUAAUGAGGCAUUACGAUUCAUAGAUUGAAACACACUUUUAUGACAACCCUAUAAUUAGAAAAAUAUGGAAUCAUGUAUCUCUAUUCUAAUUGGUUAACUGACCGGCAAAGCAAUACAACUGGUUUCAGACAAGCAACUCAACUGAUAUGUUUGACUCGUCAAUCGAUAGUAUCACCGAAAUACCAAAUACGGAAUAAUAUCACGAAAUAUCCAACACGUGUGCAACAGUUGGAUCCAUAAACGAUUAUUCGAUUGGUUCGUAUAAAAGUCUAAAAAGAAAUACCCGACAACCCUAAUUACGCUUCCUUCUCAGUUUAAUUUUAUACAAUAAUUCAAAAUUAUGCAACAAGUAAAAUAUCAAUCACUGGUAAAAUAUAGUAAGUAAUAAUAACAAAGAUCAGUUAACCAUAGCAUGAAAAAAUAGUAAGAAACUAUGCAAUUUUCUAUAAUCUACCAUAAAACAUAUUAUCGUAGUAUUGGAUAUGAACUUGUAUAAAAUAGGGCAUAACAUAACGUCAGUAAUAUAAACUCCUAGAUAGAUAUAUAAAAUUAUCCUAUUGUGUAUAGCAUGCAAUUUGGAACAGAAUCUUAUGAUAAUGGAUCCUCGCAUUAAAUAUUAUAAAAUUCAAGUAUGAUUCUACUUAUCAAGAACUUGAAAAAUGUAUCGGGUGAUUCCCAAAAUCGAUUUCAAAUAUGCGGCCAAUUUUCAGAUAUUACGGUUUGUAUGCUAAUCAUCUUUUCUUUCUUGGAGUUUCGUCGCUCUGGACUCGUUACCGUGUCCAUUAAAUGUUAAUUGCUCUAACUUUUGUCGAAUAGCUUUUAGUUUCUUGUUUUUCUGUUAAAUUUUGUCUCCAUAUUUAGAAGAAGCACGUAUUUAUCAAAAAUGGAGGAUCCAUCUAUGCCAAUAUACACAAAUAUAGGAAAAUAUGAAAUUGAGAAUGAGUCCACUUACCUAAUACAUAUAAGCUUGCUUCUUUUCUCGAUGUCUCUUUUUUUCUUUAAUAUUAACUUCAUUUUUUAUUUUGACUUAUUUUUCAAUUUUCUUUUUAAUUUUACAUCCGUGGUUUACUGAUAUUCGUAUGACAUAUAUGUAUACACAUACGUCUAUAUAUAUAUACAUACAUAUAUGUAUAUAUAUUUUACAACGCACUGCUUAUGUUAUACGUAUUGAAGGCAAAUUAUGAGCUUAUUUAUUUAUACAUUUAUCUAUAUCCAUAUGAUUCUCAGAAAUAUAUAAAGAGUAUAUCAGUUUAUAGGCAAAUAUAUAAAUAAAUAUAAACAUGAACAUUAGACUUUAGUACAUACAAAGUACACAGUGCGGUGAAAUAUAUAUAUAUGUGUGUAUAUAUAUGCAUGUAUUUACGUAUAUAUCGAAUCAGUCUACCAUCUGAAAAGAAUAGAGAAAAUUUCAUUCAUAAAUUUCAUUCAAAAGAAAAGAGAAAAUAUAUAAACUAAUUUUUAACAGAAUGUAAUGAACUUACCAAGUACUAGCACAAAUAGUUUUAACUCGAUUAAUAAUUACGCCUUGCAGGACUAUCUGUAAGAAAACAAAUAGUACUUAAUAACGCAUUACGAUUGAUAGAUCGAAACACAGUUUUACAAGCCGAUAAUUAGAAAAGGAGACUCAAAUAUUAACAUUCCAAGGGAUAUUUAUAUUAUUCCAAACAAUUCACUAAGCUUUAGUUCAAAUAACGCAAAUUAUAAUAUUUCCUCUGGUUAAUAUUAUACAAUAAUAUACCCAAGACAAAUUACUAGAUAUAAUAUAUAGUGCAAGAAAAUGAUAAACUAUACAACUUUCUAUAGUAUAUUAUAAAACGGUAUAUCGUAGUAUUGAACACAAAAUUGUAUAAAAUAUAGUAUAAUGCGUUAAUAUCAAGUAGCAUAAAAUUCAAAUAGGAUUUCACUAACCGAUAGCGCGUUUUUUAUAAUCUUCCAGAUAAGUAACAUUAUCGCGAUGGACAGGAACUUACAUAUUAUUCUAAUUCGUCCCUCUCUUGAAACCUCCAGGAAGAUGCUUGUAGGAUGAUUCGAAACAGAAUAAAUAGUUUAUUCAACUUCCGCGGACAGCUCCUAACAUCUUUUAUAUUGACUCGAGCAUGCGCUGUUUCGUUUAAUCCCCUCUUUUUCAUAUUUUCACGAUCCCCAAUUAUCUCUUCACAAUGUUACCAACAGUUCUGGAUCGAUAUUAGCGUAAAAGGAAGAUUUCUGUUUGCUUUUAUCUCUGUUUUUUCUUCUUGAUUCUUUUUUCUCCAUUUGAUUCCCCAUGUGAUUCUCCAUACUCAUAUCUUUUCGAUCAUUUCACGAUGUAAAAAUCGAAUUGCGUUUAUCCACUUUCCGAUGAGGAAAAUUUUUUUGGCAUUUAAUUAUUCAUAUUUAUUUAUUUUGUGCGAAGAGAAUGUUGACAUUACCAAGAAAGUAGAAUUCAGAAUAUUGUAUUUAAAAGGAAUAGUAAUCUCUGGGAAAAUCUCUUCCUACAAUAUUUAUAACUGAUGAUUUGUGCGAUGUAAAUCGGUUGACCGAAUAACGAUGGCUAGAAAGAAGUAUAAUAGAUCUUUACUAUGUUAGGGAAAUAUUAUGUAAAUGUUUAUUAUAUGUACGCUUAUCGAGAUAUUUAAUCAUCCGAGUAAAACAUUAGGAAAAUGCUGAAUAAAUUAGAAAUAUUAUGUUACUAGAUAUAUAAGUAUGUCGUUGCUAUACUGGGUUAUACGUAAUGAGAAAUAAACGAAUCGAUUAAGAUAACAUUUUCCGAGGAACUAAUUAGUUUGGAAUAUAUGAUAUAUUAGAUAAUUGGCAGUAUAAGUGGAUCGUUCUUUGAAAUUUUCCUAUCGGGAAUUAAUUUUUCGGAAAAAGUAUUCCUUCGUAUGAAAGAACUAAAUUAGUUGUGGUACAUCGAUCUGCUAAUUAAUUAAUGCAGCUAAAUAGCUAAUUGAAAUACACUGCUAAUCGUAUUAUCGCAUUGCCUGCUUAGUUUAAUGACAGGAGAACGAACGACAAAAUAUCUUUCUUCUUUUGAAAAAAUACCUUUCGUCAAAAUAAGCGAGGAGAUAUACGCACGCACACCCACAGAACCGCGGACAUAUUCCCGCUUACAUGCCCUAGCGCGGAUGAGAGAAUAUAAGAGCGUAAGUGUGUGGAGAAAGAUAAUAACAAAUUGUUUAACACGAACGUACACGACGAUACGUAUGGAAGAACGUAACGUAUGCAUGCAUUUUCAUUAAAUCUCAAUCGUAAGAUAUUUGCGCUACGUAAUAAUUUAGUUCGUCCAAAUACCUAUAUUUCUGAAAAACGUACAUUAUACAUUAUUUUUAAGUACAUAACGUGAAUAUUCUGACAAAUAAUUUGGAACAUUGAACCAAACACUUCUUCUCUUUUUAAUUAUAUUGAAUAAUAAUAUAAACUGACGGUAUAACGAUGACACGGUGAGAUAAACGUACACUACAUAUUAACGCAUAAUUUAAAAGCGUGUCCAGGCUAACGUUAUUAUCCCGAAGAACAAUGAAUACUUUGAUCGUAUAUGCAGCUUUGAUCAUUUUCAAUGAUAAAGCUGCCUGAAUACCAUUUCAGUUCCAUUUGAAUCCAGAUUCCCUUUGCAACGACAAACAACCCUACGAUGAAUCUUUCCCAUAACACUCCAUUAUAUCCUCUAUCUAAAGCCACUUACUUUGAAUCCUUUCAAUAACGUAUAUUCCGUAUCCUCGUACCACCAUAUGAAUGAAGCUUUGUAAUACAGCACUAUUUUAAUUGAGGAUUACCUUGAGGCAAUACCAUGAGGAUCGUCGUGAACACCAUUAUAAAUGUUUGUCCUCUUCCUCCUCUUCGUCCUCUUCUUCCUUGUUAAUUGCAACCACGUAAUGAAGACGCUAUGGAACAUAAUUAUGCGGAUCACGUUUGAAAAGGAAAUGCCUUCCUUUCGAACCCAGCACGUUGAUUAUUACUACAGCUUAGAAAUACCAAAUAUGUUUUGGAAACCGUCGGUAAUUGUACAUAGUAAAAUACCGCCGAUCGAUAUUAUAUAAUUCAGUGUCCGCACAUAAGAUAUAUGGAUAUGUAUUUUUCUUUUCUUCCUUUUUUUAAAUUCGAGCUAUAAUAUAAAGCGGCAUGUCAUUGCCUAAAAACUGUAACAAGGAACUAAAAAUAUUAAAUAACAACCUUUUUAGAUGAUAACACUGGUGAACAACUUCGAAAGUCAAUUGCUUGACAUUCCAUAAUAGAUGAUGAAUAUGUUUUUGACGUAGGAUUCUUUGAAAAUAUUCUCUUAUAAAUGUAUUUGUUCCUGUAAAGUACUAUGUAUAAGGAUCAUAAUAAGAAAACAGAUACUCCUCAUUGUGGUCACUUCACACAUCAUAUUAUUUUUAUCAUGACCAAAAAAGAUAUUGUUUACAUGAACAACAUCUUUGGCUGAUUUUGUCACUUAGUAAUUAAAAAUAUGUAUAUUAACGCCCGCAAGAUAUUUUUAUUAUGAGGGAAUAUUAAUAAGAGAAUUAAUUUCGUUUCAUGGAAUGUGAAUAUUUGGUUGGGUGAGAUCAAUAAAAAUGAAGCAGAAGCAUUUGUAACAAUAUUCUGUUAUGGAAUAUGGAUAUGGUAGUAAAACAGAAAUCAUAAUAUGUCAAAUUAAAAGAGAUCGUUAGAGAAGUCUUAAUUAAUUUCAUCUUCUACCUUUUCGUCUGUGAAAGCAAUAAAGAUGCAUAGAGUGUAAAAACUCUGUCUGUUCGGCACCCUCUCGGAUGUUGACUAUCGGCUUACGUAAUAUAAUAUAUCGUGACCGUGAAACUAACUAAUAUAUUGUAAUGAUAUUUGAUUUAUAUGAAUUUGUAGGUAUUGAAGAGCAUAUUUCAUUACAAGAUAUUAUCCCUUAUAAUUUUCUACGAUAUCUGUGAUAAGCUUUGCAGGAUUUUCAUCCUUAUCAUCGUCUAUGAGAUUUUUCCUGUUUUCAUAUACGGUGGUAUCACUAUCACUGUUACCGUUUUUUUCUGGAUUUAUACUUGUCUUUUUGGAAUUGCUCUUCACUACUUAUAUCUUAUAUCAUGUAAUGUAGUCGUGUUUGUACACUUCAUUAUUGUCCUAAUAAAAAAAAAAAAAAUGAGUA